CGUCAAUUCUCAGCCCUCACCAGCCGUGUACUAGCUGUUAGGGCUGAGAGCUGGGACCUAGAGGGAAAUUCAGUCAUGUUUGUCCUGGGUUCCAUCGAGAUAGGUGUGGGGAUAAGCUUGAUUUCUAUUACAAAUGAUGUAACAUUACAUAUGUUAAUACUCCUAACACUUCUUGGGACUGUGCCUCAGGGAUCACAACCUGUAU
rnacentral:lncRNA from 1 species